rnacentral:rRNA from 1 species
UACGUAGGGGGCAAGCGUUGUCCGGAAUCAUUGGGCGUAAAGAGCGUGUAGGCGGCCUGGUAAGUCCGCUGUGAAAGUCCAGGGCUCAACCCUGGAAUGCCGGUGGAAACUGUCAGGCUCGAGUCCGGAAGAGGCGAGUGGAAUUCCUGGUGUAGCGGCGAAAUGCGCAGAUAUCAGGAGGAACACCAAUGGCGAAGGCAGCUCGCUGGGACGGUACUGACGCUGAGACGCGAAAGCGUGGGGAGCAAACAGG